rnacentral:rRNA from 1 species
CAGAACGAACGCUGGCGGCGUGGCUAAGACAUGCAAGUCGAACGAACUGGUCAAUUUAUUGAGCAGUUAGUGGCGUAAGGGUUAGUAAUGGAUAGGUAACGUACCCUGUGCUUCGGGAUAGCGUCAGUUGCUUCGGCAACUUCCGAAAGGGGCGGUAAUACCGGAUAAUAUCAGGUGCCGAUGGGCACUUGUUCAAAGAUUUAUCGGCAGAGGAGCGGCCUAUCUCUUAUCAGCUUGUUGGUGAGGUAAUGGCUCACCAAGGCAAUGACGGGUAGCGGGACUGAGAGGUUGACCCGCAACAUCGGGACUGAGACACUGCCCGGACCUCCACGGAGGGCUGCAGUAACGAAUAUUGCGCAAUGGGCGAAAGCCUGACGCAGCGACGCCGCGUGUAGGAGGAAGUCCCUCGGGAUGUAAACUACUGUCGAGAGAUUAGAAAGUACGCUUCGGCGUAUUGAUCAGUCUCACAGGAAGUCACGGCUAACUCUGUGCCAGCAGCCGCGGUAAGACAGAGGUGGCUAGCGUUGUUCGGUGUCACUGGGCUUAAAGCGUGUGUAGGCGGAAAAGUAAGCGUCUUGUGAAAUCCCCCGGCUUAACCGGGGAACUGCUCGGCGAACUACUUUUCUUGAGGCAAGUAGGGGUGCAUGGAACUCUUGGUGGAGCGGUGGAAUGCGUAGAUAUCAAGAGGAACGCCGAUGGAGAAAUCAAUGCACUGGGCUUGAUCUGACGCUGAGACACGAAAGCGUGGGGAGCGAACGGGAUUAGAUACCCCGGUAGUCCACGCCGUAAACGAUGUCUACUAGGUUGUGAGAGUUCUGACACUGUCGCGACCGGAGCAAAAGUGUUAAGUAGACCGCCUGGGGAGUACGGCCGCAAGGCUAAAACUCAAAGGAAUUGACGGG